UACGUAGGCAGCGAGCGUUGUUCGGAGUUACUGGGCGUAAAGAGUGCGUAGGCGGUUUUCUAAGUUUGGUGUGAAAUCUCCCGGCUCAACUGGGAGGGUGCGCCGAAGACUGGAAGGCUUGAGUAUGGGAGAGGUAAGCGGAAUUCCUGGUGUAGCGGUGAAAUGCGUAGAUAUCGGAAGGAACACCGGUGGCGAAAGCGGCGCGCUGGAUCCCUUCUGACGCUGAGGCGCGAAAGCCAGGGGAGCGGAACGGG
rnacentral:rRNA from 1 species